AGCUCCAAUAGCGUAUAUUAAAGUUGUUGUGGUUAAAAAGCUCGUAGUUGGAUCUCAACAGCGUGGUGGCGGUCGGCAUGCUUGCCGUUACUGCUGUCUUGCGCUGUGCUUUUUGCUGGAGGGUGGCAGGUGCUCUUAAUCGGGUGUCUGUUGUCGCCAGCAGGUUUACUUUGAAAAAAUUAGAGUGCUCAAAGCAGGCUGUUACGCCUGAAUAUUCGUGCAUGGAAUAAUAGAAUAGGACGUCGAUCCUAUUUUGUUGGUUUUCGGGACUCGACGUAAUGAUUAAUAGGGACAGUCGGGGGCAUUUGUAUUCAAACGACAGAGGUGAAAUUCUUGGACCGUUUGAAGACAAACUACUGCGAAAGCAUUUGCCAAGAAUGUUUUCAUUAAUCAAGAACGA
rnacentral:rRNA from 1 species